GAUGAACGCUGGCGGCGUGCCUAAUACAUGCAAGUCGAGCGAACAGACGAGGAGCUUGCUCCUCUGACGUUAGCGGCGGACGGGUGAGUAACACGUGGAUAACCUACCUAUAAGACUGGGAUAACUUCGGGAAACCGGAGCUAAUACUGGAUAAUAUAUUGAACCGCAUGGUUCAAUAGUGAAAGACGGUUUUGCUGUCACUUAUAGAUGGAUCCGCGCCGCAUUAGCUAGUUGGUAAGGUAACGGCUUACCAAGGCAACGAUGCGUAGCCGACCUGAGAGGGUGAUCGGCCACACUGGAACUGAGACACGGUCCAGACUCCUACGGGAGGCAGCAGUAGGGAAUCUUCCGCAAAGGGCGAAAGCCUGACGGAGCAACGCCGCGUGAGUGAUGAAGGUCUUCGGAUCGUAAAACUCUGUUAUUAGGGAAGAACAAAUGUGUAAGUAACUAUGCACGUCUUGACGGUACCUAAUCAGAAAGCCACGGCUAACUACGUG
rnacentral:rRNA from 1 species